GAGGGUAUAGCUCAGUGGUAGAGUGUAUGCUUAGCAUGCAGGAGGUCCUGGGUUCAAUCUCCAGUACCUCCA
rnacentral:tRNA from 1 species